rnacentral:rRNA from 1 species
UACGUAGGUGGCAAGCGUUGUCCGGAAUUACUGGGCGUAAAGGGCGUGUAGGCGGCCUUUUAAGUCAGGCGUGAAAUCCAUGGGCUUAACCCAUGAAUUGCGUUUGAAACUGAAGGGCUUGAGGAUCGGAGAGGGCAGUGGAAUUCCCAGUGUAGCGGUGAAAUGCGUAGAUAUUGGGAGGAACACCAGUGGCGAAGGCGACUGCCUGGACGACACCUGACGCUGAG